CUUCAAAGCAGAAGAGACUGGUCAGAGCUUGGGGGCCAUUUUUGUACAAGGUAACCAGGAAUUAGAGAGAAGUGGCUAAUUUCAAAGUGUGAUUUAAAGGACUUAGGGAUUUUGGUUAUGAUUUCAUAAAACACAGGAGAGGUCUUCCUUAAUAACACAGAUUUUUAGGAAAUGUGGGGCCACGUGUGCUGUUUCCAUCACCCCAGGGUGCUGCAGGUGUGUGGAGUGCUCAGGAUGCUUCAGAGAGGAAGGAGGGAGAGAAAAGCUUUUGGGAUGAAGUGGUUUUCGUUCAGCUAAUCAAAGCUCCUCACUCAGGGCUAGAACAAAGCAGUCAAGACCUCUCUUUUUUUUCAUCAUCAAAUGAGAGAGGUCUCUGCUGGUUGUCAUCACGUGGGAGGUUGCAGGUUGCUGUUACCCUGUUGUCAAGGUCUGAAACCCCUGAUCCCAUGCUCUGAAGCAAUGCCCUGUGCUAGGCAGUGCAGCUCCUCUGGGUGCUGGUGAAGGACAUCUGCCAGUCAACACUGACUCUUCCCAGGUCACCCUGAGCAGGAAAGUCUUCAACUUGAUUC